UCUCCAAGGCAGAGGACAACCCACUGAACGAAGGGACGGACGCAGCCAGGGCCGCCAUUGCCUUCUCCUUCUUCUCCAUCUUCACUUGGAGCCUGACCGCAGCCCUGGCCGUGCAGAGAUUCAAGGACCUUACCUUCCAGGAGGAAUACAGCACACUGUUCCCUGCCUCGGCGCAGACGUAGGCCUCCCCGCUUGCAAAGGCAGGGAGCCCCAGGUCACAUCUGGUGGCGAGGUGGCAGGAGCAGCUUUGCCAGAAGUGUCCAGGAUGCCAGGGCCUGGAGGGCAGUGGAAGGCUGGCUUGAGGAGCCAGUUAAGAUUUGCCACCCACUCAUUGCCCCCUUUGUUUAUUCUUCAUGCGUUCAUUCAUUCAGUAAACAUUUAUCGAGCA